rnacentral:rRNA from 1 species
GACGAACGCUGGCGGCGUGCUUAACACAUGCCAGUCGAACGGUAAGGCCCCUUCGGGGGUCCACGAGUGGCGAACGGGUGCGUAACACGUGAGCAACCUGCCCUUGACUCUGGAAUAACAGUUGGAAACAGCUGCUAAUACUGGAUAUUCAUCGUCUCCUUCCUGGGGGGUGGUGGAAAGCUCCGGCGGUCAGGGAUGGGCUCGCGGCCUAUCAGCUUGUUGGUGAGGUAAUGGCUCACCAAGGCUUCGACGGGUAGCCGGCCUGAGAGGGCGACCGGCCACACUGGGACUGAGAGACGGCCCAGACUCCUACGGGAGGCAGCAGUGGGGAAUAUUGCACAAUGGGCGCAAGCCUGAUGCAGCAACGCCGCGUGCGGGAUGACGGCCUUCGGGUUGUAAACCGCUUUCAGUAGGGACGAAGGGUGACUGACGGUACCUACAGAAGAAGGACCGGCUAACUACGUG